rnacentral:lncRNA from 1 species
UUUGUUUGUUUGUUUGUUUUCCCCAAUCUUGAAGGCAACAGCAGAGCCAGCGUACUUGCCCCCUGUCGUCUCUGGUUCCAGAAAGACAAGCUGUGGCACUUCCUUUUUUCACAACCUUCUUCAUUACCCGAGUCUCUCUUCCUGCUGCUUAAGGGCUCUUCAAGUUUAAGAAGAAAGUUCUUCCUGCAGACCAGCUGGAUGAGGGACCUCCAAACUUGGCCUCCUGGGAUGGAGAGGGACAUUUUUGCUAGCAGGCCUAUUGGUAGGCCAGAUAUCCUGAGGUUCAUUGCGAGCCCUAGAAAUAAAUGACUGCAAGUGAAAGACGGGUCACUAGAAGGAGAUCAGGUUGGUCAAGCAGGACCUGCCCUUCGUGAACCCAUGCUGGCUAGGCCUGAUCCCCCAGUUGUCCCACACAUGCUGCGUGAUCUCCCUCAAGACAAUCUGCUCCAUAAUCUUCCCCGGCACCGAGGUCAGGCUAACAGGCCUGUAGCUCCCCGGAUCCUCCCUGCAGCCCUUCUUGCAGAUGGAAGUCACGUUGGCAAGCCUCCAGUCUUCUAGGACCUCACCCGUCAACAAGGAGCACUGAUAGAUGAUGGACAAUGGCUCAGCUAUCACCUCCACCAGUUCCCUCAGCACUCUUGGGUGAAUCUCAUCCGGUCCCAUGGACUUGUGGCAGUCCAGUUGGAGUAGCAGGUCUCUGUUUCCUCCUGAAUUGUGGGGGGUUUAGUCAGCUCCCCAGCCAAGACUGCCAGGUCAGAGAGUGGAGAAACCUGAGGAUAACUGGUCUGACUUUUAAAGACAGAUGUAAAGAAGGCAUUCAGAACGUCUGUCUUGUCCUUAUCCUCAGUGGUCACAUUCCCAGCCUCAUCCAAUAAAGAAUGGAGAUUCUCCCUGGUCCUCCUGUUACUGUUGAUAUACUUGUAAAAGAGUUUCUUGUUCCCUUUAACCCCAGCAGCCAGGUUGAGUUCAAGCUGGGCUUUUGCCUUUCUGAUUUUCUCCCUGCACAUCUUAACAACUUCUUUGUAUUCUUUCUGGGUUGCCCGUCCCUUCUUCCAUAGGAGGUAGAUUCUCUUUUUCUCCUGGAACCUCAAGAAUAGUUCCCUAUUCAUCCACGCCAGUCUUCUUCCGCGCUGGCUCAUUUUACGGCUCAGGGGGACAGCCUGCUCCUGCACCUUUAAGACUUCCUUCUUGAAGAGCAACCAGCCAUCUUGUACCCCUUUACCGCUAAGACUGGACCCCAGGGGACUCCCCCUACUAGUCUCCUGAACAAUUCAAAGUCUGCCCUCCGGAAGUCCAAGGUAGCAGUUUUGCUGUUCCCCCUCCUGACUCCACCAAGAAUUGAGAACUCUACCAUGUUGUGGUCACUCUGUCCAAGACAGCCACCGACCUCCACAUCUCCCACCAGACCUUCUCUGUUUGUGAACAGCAGGUCUAAUGGGGCAGCUCCUCUCGUAGGUUCUCUUACCAGCUGCAUCAAGAAGUUGUCCUCCAUACAUUCCAGAAACCUCCUAGACUGCUUCUUCUGUGCUAAAUUGUAUUCCCAGCAUAUGUCAGGGAAGUUGAAGUCCCCCAUGAGGACAAGGGCUGGCGAUCGUGCAGCUUCUGCCAACUGCUCAUAGAACACCUCAUCUGUCUCUUCAUCCUGGUUUGGCGGUCUAUAACAGACACCCACCAGGAUGUCUGCCUUGUCAGCUCUUCCCCUGAUCUUUACCCAUAAGGAUUCAACCUUAUUAUCCCCAGUCAUAAGUUCAGUAACCUCAAAGCACUCUUUAACAUAGAGAGCCACACCACCGCCCCUCCUUCCUUGCCUAUCCUUCCUGAAGAGUUUGUAGCCAUCCAUUGCAGCACUCCAGUCAUGGGAGCGGUCCCACCAGGUUGGUCUUGUGCCACCAUGGGUCAGAAAAGAAUCUGUAUUUUCAAGGACUAAAAAAGGCCACUGAUAUUAAGGAUCAAAACUGCCUAAGAGUCGGGUUAGAGCAACUCCUGUGGAAGUCUGCAAUCAGCACUGUGCUCUCAAGGUAGGUCCUAUCAAGCUGUGUUAUGCUGGCCAGUACUGCACAGAUUCUUAGGAUAAGAAUAACAUAUACUUUGGCCUGAUUUGCUAGGUGAGUGGUGGAAGAGGCAAAGCCCAAGGGAGAAUGGUUUCUCUUCUUGUUGUCAAAAAUUUGCUUAUAGGAUUUGCUUCCUGUCCCCAACAAUCCCUCUUAAGGACAGCUUCCUUAGACUAGGGCUG